UGAUCAAGAUGGCAAGAACGCGUCCACAAAAUUGGCUCUUCUGAAGGAGGCACGUGACCCCAAUGCCCCCAUCUAAAUCCGCUACUGUCAGUCUGGGGUGCAUAGCGCAGCAGGCGCGUAACGCUUGUUUUUUGGGCUAGGAGGCAGUCAACAGAGAACGCUUGCAAGGAGUAUUAUAAACGAGUUUGACUGGGGUGGACAAGACCGCUGACUUGGCAGUGUAACAUCAUGCAGCUGACGGGUACGUGUGGGCCUUGGUGUCCAGUUCCAGAGCUGCGCCAAAGACUCUGGCCUAGCUCCAGGUGGUCAAAUCUAAAGCUAUUUUUUCUGUAAGUUACUAUAUCGUUUAGCGAAACUCCCGUAUACAGCAAUGCCAACGCCGAUAUGCUCGGGAAAGCCCACGCUUCAUUAUGCCACCCAUUAUGCAUCAACUCGAUGCGUAUAUUCGUUGCG